UUUUAUUUCGAAUAUAUUGCAAACGUUGUGCGUGUACACCUAUAGUAAAUAGUGUUUUUUCUACUCUACGAAUUAUACAUUAGAAGAUUGGGGAUAUAUAUGCUACAAAAACCGCAGUAAGAAAAAAACAGACUGUGUGCCUCUGCAACAAAUGUAGAGAUAGGGAAGGACGGGUUCCGUUUUUCAAAGACCAUGAAGGUGAAGGGAAAAAAGGGAAGAAAGAAAAAAAGCAAGGAGGAAACCCAAGCCACUGAACAUGCUGAAGCCAGUGACCCGGACAGUGAUCAGACCCUACAGUUCGAUUGUUACUAAGGAAUUUACAUAGACAAAGAAAUAUGCUAGCGAUUCUUUUUAAUUCUAAAAAGUGUUUAAAUGUAUUGUAAAUUUUUACUAAGAAAAAAUAAAAUCUGUAUACU
rnacentral:sRNA from 1 species